CGUGGGUGUGGCGAAAGGGAUCCAGAGGCUGGGCUGGCUUCGCGGCCCCACAGCUUGGAUUUAACUCCUUUUCGCCCCCAGCCCUUGUCGCCGGUACUGUGGCGAAGGGCGGGGGUGUGGCGAAAGGGGUCCAUAGGCAAGGCCCCCCAGCUUGGAAGCAACUCAUUUUCGCCCCAGCCCUUGUCGCCGUACCUUGCGGGUACUGUGGUGAAGGAUGUGGGUGUGCCGAAAGGGGUCCAGAGGAUAGGGCGGUUUCGAUGCCCCCCAGCUUGGAAGCAACUCAUUUUCGCCCCGGCCCUUGUCGCCGUACCUUGUGGGUACUGUGGUGAAGGAUGUGGGUGUGCCGAAAGGGAUCAAGAGGCUAGGCUGGCUUCGCGACCCCCUAGCUUGGACUUAACUCCUUUUCGCCCUCAGCCCUUGUCGUCGUACCUUGCCGGUACUGUGGCGAAAGGUCGAAAGGGGUCUAGAGGCUGGGCUGGCAUCGCGGCACUCCAGCUUGGACUUAACUCCUUUUCGCCCCAGCCCUUGUCGCCGUAUCUUGCGGGUACUGUGGCGAAGGGCGUGGUUGUGGCGAAAGUGCCCUUGUCGUCGUACCUUGCCGGUACUGUGGCGAACGGCGUGGGUGUAGCGAAAGGGGUUCAGAGGCUGGGCUGGCUUCGCGGCCCCCAGCUUAGACUUAACUCCUUUUCGCCCCUUUGCCUUGUCGUCGUACCUUGCGAUACUGUGGUGAAGGGAGUGGGUGUGGCGAAAGGGUUCCAGAGGCUGGGCUGGCUCCGUGGCCCCCCAGCAUGGAAGCAACUCAUUUUCGCCCCUAGCCCUUGUCGACGUACCAUGCGGGUACUGUGGCGAAGGGCGUGGGUGUGGCGAAAGGGGUCCAGAGGCUGGGCUGGCUUCGGGGGCCCCAGCUUGGACUUAACUCCUUUUCGCCCCCUGCUCUUGUCGUCGUACCUUGCGGGGCAUGGGUGUGGCGAAAGGGGUCCAAAGGCUUGGGCGUCUUCGAGGCCCCCCAACUUGGAAGCAACUCAUUUUCGCCCCCAGCCCUUGUCAUCGUACCAUGCAGGUACUGUGGCGAAGGGUGUGGAUGUGGCGAAAGGGGUCCAGAGGCUGGGCUGGCUUCGUAGCCCCCAGCUUGGACUUAACUCAUUUUCGCCCCCAGCCCUUGUCGCCGUUCCUUGCAGGUACUGUGGCGAAGGGUGUGGGUGUGGCGAAAGUGGUCGAGAGGCUGGGCUGGUGUCGCGACCGGGAAAAUUGCCUUUUCCCGAACGCUAGUGUAUUUAUC
rnacentral:lncRNA from 1 species